AACGUUUAUGAUAUGGACAAAUAUCGUGGAUUUUUUAUCUUUAUUAAUUAAAUGAUACGAAAGUGACUUAUUUUUUUAAAAUUAUAAUAGUGAAUGGUGACUUGCAGAAACGAAGUAUUUAUGACGAGACUCCUGAGGGAACAGGACGAGCCGAAGAUUACAGGCUGAGGCUGUCCCCUCGGAAAGCGAAGUCAUAUAAUACGAAGUUUCAUCAUAUAAAAAGCGCUAA
rnacentral:ncRNA from 1 species